rnacentral:lncRNA from 1 species
CAGACUCCCGCACCAUAUAGACCCUCCCUCCAGUGUCUGGUUUCUGCUUGAGAACGUUCACAUUCAGGAAGCCCUCCACUCUGGCAGCCCAUUCCAUUGUUGAAUCCUUCCAGCUCCUAGAGGCCUUUCCUUCCACACCUAACUUCCUUGUAACCUCACCACGGGCCCAGCUUCUGCCCUUAGGAGCUAGGAUGAAAUCAACUGCACAGACCCAAUGCCAGGUCUCUAGGUUGGAGACAUCCCAGCUGAAUCCUGGCCCCCUUCUCUGGCCUUCAUUAUCCCUGUUCCUUCAGUCACCACUCAGGUGCAUUUGUUUUGAGACUACCUCGUCACUGUAUUGCAGAGGCAAGACUGGCACCAGUGGUUAAGCAAUAAUAUGAGCCACCUUAAAACUAGGAGUCAAAUUAGUUCUGUAGCUAUACAAGUGGGCGUGGACUUGUACAUGCACAUGUGCGUGCAAGUGCACCAUUAUGGGAUAGCAGCAUGUUGCCACUGACAGGACAAGAGUGUUGUCCUUGUUUCUACAGGCUUAUCUGAGCCCUCAAAAGGAUUAACAAAGAAACCAACACAUAGGCCAUUCUUCUCCAUGGAGUGCCUUGAUUAGGCCUCUUGAACAUGGAGAGGGACAGAUGUAGGCACUCAAGGAAGACAUGGAAGAGGGAGUGAGGCUCGCGCUCACCUUGAACCUGGGAUAGAACUUGGGAACUUGCACUUGCAAGGCAGGUGGCAGAACCACUGAGCUAAAUCCCCAGCCGUGUAUUCUGUCAGAAUAAAUGACGUUUGAAAUAUCAAGGGUAGAAUGAAUAUCAGCAAGAGGAAAUCGUAGACCAAGAGGGAAGAUCUGAUUGAGUAUAAGGAACGCAUUAACACUGAAGAAAAUCAUGUUUUCUGGACUGGACACAAACUCAGGGCGCUGGGAGGAAACAGGAGUUGUAAACACACCUGUGGUGUUGAGGCAUUGGAGGAGAUGGGCAGUUUCCUCAGAGGACUCUGGGUUCUUUGGCAUAGAAAAUACCUUGAAAGCUGUACGGGUACCCAUUGUCUGUAUCCAAACCUGAUGUGUGCUGGGACCAUUUCAGCGACUGAACUACUAGAAAUCGAUUUCUGAGCACUAACACCCAUCCAGGUCAGGAAUCCAGCAACUGAACCAAUGAAUGCAGCCAAAGAGCGAGAAAUAAAUUUCCUGUUUUCCCACUACAUUACCUGGCAUCCUUGCAGUGUUUCUCUCCUUAUGAAUUCAUCACAGUUGAAUCCUUCUUUGGAGAAGGCUGCCUCGGGUCAAAUCCAUGUCCUACCACUUGUAAGCUGAAGGAUGUAGCUCAAUCCCCUCAUCUAUACCUUGUGGAUAAUAAAAAUCUCUCAUCCAUGUAACAGAGCUUAUCUGUAUAAAGUGCUUGGAAUAGGACCUAGCUUGGUAGCAAGCACUCAGUAAGGCACUCCGUAGUUUUACUCAAUAAAAGUUUCACUUCACUUGCACCCUUAUACAUACAUGAAAACCUCUGGCUUGAAAGGAAUCUACACGCUGACCACAACCUCCAACACCUAGGAACCCAUUCUGCAACAUGGUAUUUUCAGUCUACUUGAGCCUUACUGCCUCAGGGAGCAGCAUCCCAUCUUCGGACAGCGCUAACUUCUAGGAGAGCAAGG